UACAGAGGUCUCAAGCGUUGUUCGGAUUCAUUGGGCGUAAAGGGUGCGUAGGCGGCGCGGAAAGUUGGGUGUGAAAUCCCUCGGCUCAACCGAGGAAUUGCGCCCAAAACUUCCCGUGCUCGAGGAAGAUAGAGGUGAAGCGGAACUUAGGGUGGAGCGGUGAAAUGCGUUGAUAUCCUAAGGAACACCGGUGGCGAAAGCGGCUCACUGGAUCUUUCUGACGCUGAGGCACGAAAGCUAGGGUAGCGAACGGG
rnacentral:rRNA from 1 species